rnacentral:lncRNA from 1 species
GAAAAUUUACAAGCACUGAUCAUUAUAAAUGCAUUAAAGAUGCUAUUGUUGGAGACAAAAAUGGAUAUGAUGCAAGCAGCAUUGAUGGUGUCAUUGGCGACAUGCUAAAACGAGCC